rnacentral:misc_RNA from 1 species
GAUGAAGAACGUAGCGAAAUGCGAUAAGUAAUGCGAAUUGCAGAAUUCAGUGAAUCAUCGAAUCUUUGAACGCACAUUGCGCCCGCCAGUAUUCUGGCGGGCAUGCCUGUUCGAGCGUCAUUUCAACCCUCAGGCCCCCAGUGCCCGGCGUUGGGGAUCGGCGCGGCGCCCUCCGGGGCGCUGCCGGCCCCGAAAUUCAGUGGCGGUCUCGCUGUAGCCCUCCUCCGCGUAGUAGCACAACCUCGCGGCCUGGAGCUCGGCGGUGGCCAUGCCGUAAAACACCCCACUUCUGAAAGUUGACCUCGGAUCAGGUAGGAAUACCCGCUGAACUUAAGCAUAUCAAUAAGCGGAGGA